rnacentral:lncRNA from 1 species
CCAAGUACAGUGGUGCCCCGCAAGACGAACGCCUCGCAAGACGAAAAACUCGCAAGACGAAAGGUUUUUUCGUUUUCGAGUUGCUUCGCAAGACGAAUGUCCCUAUGGGCUUGCUUCGCAAGACGAAAACGUCUUGCAAGUUUGUUUCCUUUUUCGUAAAACCGUUAAAACCCAGGGUGCAUUGCUGGAAGAGGUGCAGUUGCGACUUGACCUCGAGGAGCAACACAUUGCACGCGGUGUGGUGGCCUUUCUGAGCUUUUUAAAGAGUUUGCUGGAUUUUUGAAGCUUUUCCAAAACUUCUUCUACAGCUGUUUGGUAAGUUGAACUUUUAAAACUUUUUUUUGGGUUUUGGGGAUUUUGGGUUGGGGUGUUUAGAAUUCAAGGACUUGGUGUUGGGGAGAGGUUUGCAAGAAUCUGGGAGCUUGUGUGGUUUUUUUCUGCAUUUUUAUGAUUUUCUGUGACCAUUGGGCCAUGUUUAUUUUUUUUAAAAAAAAAAAUCUGGCUUUGAAUUUUUGAAUUUCUGUGUGCUGGGUGGAUGGGGGAACAGCUGGGGAGGUGUUUGCAAGAAUCUGGGAGCUUGUGUGCUUUUUUUUGAAUUUUUAUGAUUUUUUUGUGACCAUUGGGCCAUGUUGUUUUUUUUUGAAAAAAGUUUCUGGGUUUUAAAUUUCUGUGUGCUGGGUGGAUGGGGGAACAGCUGGGGAGGUGUUUGCAAGAAUCUGGGAGCUUGUGUGCUUUUUUUUGAAUUUUUAUGAUUUUUUUGUGACCAUUGGGCCAUGUUGUUUUUUUUAAAAAAGUUUCUGGGUUUUAAAUUUCUGUGUGCUGGGUGGCUGGGGAACAGCUGAGGAGGGGUUUGCAAGAAUCUGGGAGCUUGUGUGCUUUUUUUGAAUUUUUAUGGUUUUUUGUGACCAUUGGGCAAUGUUGUUUUUUUUUGAAAAAUGUUUCUGGGUUUUAAAUUUCUGUGUGCGGGGUGUCUGGGGGAACAGCUGGGGAGGUGUUUGCAAGAAUCUGGGAGCUUGUGUGCUUUUUUUUUAAUUUUUAUGAUUUUUGUGACCAUUGGGCCAUGUUGUUGUUUUUUGAAAAAGUUUCUGGGUUUUAAAUUUCUGUGUGCUGGGUGGCUGGGGGAACAGCUGUGGAGGUGUUUGCAAGAAUCUGGGAGCUUGUGUGCUUUUUUGAAUUUUUAUGAUUUUUGUGACCAUUGGGCCAUGUUGUUUUUUUUGAAAAAGUUUCUGGGUUUUAAAUUUCUGUGUGGUGGGUGGUUGGGGGUAACAGCUGGGGUGGUGUUUGCAAGUAUCUGGGUGCUUUUGUGGGUUUUUUUGAAUUUUUAUGCUUUUUUUGUGACCAUUGGGCCAUGUUGUUUUUUUUUGAAAAUAUUUUCUGGGUUUUAAAUUUCUGUGUGCUGGGUGGCUGGGGGAACAGCUGAGGAGGGGUUUGCAAGAAUCUGGGAGCUUGUGUGCUUUUUUUUGAAUUUUUAUGAUUUUUUUGUGACCAUUGGGCCAUGUUGUUUUUUUUUUGAAAAAAGUUUCUGGGUUUUAAAUUUCUGUGUGCUGGGUGGAUGGGGGAACAGCUGGGGAGGUGUUUGCAAGAAUCUGGGAGCUUGUGUGCUUUUUUUUGAAUUUUUAUGAUUUUUUGUGACCAUUGGGCCAUGUUGUUGUUUUUUGAAAAAGUUUCUGGGUUUUAAAUUUCUGUGUGCUGGGUGGCUGGGGGAACAGCUGGGGAGGUGUUUGCAAGAAUCUGGGAGCUUGUGUGCUUUUUUUUAAUUUUUAUUAUUUUUGUGACCAUUGGGCCAUGUUGUUUAUUCUUUGAAAAAAGUUUCUGGGUUUUAAAUUUCUGUGUGCUGGGUGGCUGGGGGAACAGCUGGGGAGGUGUUUGCAAGAAUCUGGGAGCUUGUGUGCUUUUUUUUGAAUUUUUAUGAUUUUUUUGUGACCAGUGGGCCAUGUUUUUUUUUUUUGAAAAAAGUUUCUGGGUUUUAAAUUUCUGUGUGCUGGGUGGCUGGGGGAACAGCUGAGGAGGGGUUUGCAAGAAUCUGGGAGCUUGUGUGCUUUUUUUUGAAUUUUUAUGGUUUUCUGUAACCAUUGGGCCAUGUUGUUUUUUUUUGAAAAAUUUUCUGGGUUUUGAAUUUCUGUGUGCUGGGUGGCUGGGGGAACAGUUGAGGAGGGGUUUGCAGGAAUCUGGGAGCUUGUGUGCUUUUUUUUGAAUUUUUAUGGUUUUCUGUAACCAUUGGGCCAUGUUGUUUUUUUUGAAAAAUUUUCUGGGUUUUGAAUUUCUGUGUGCUGGGUGGCUGGGGGAACAGUUGAGGAGGGGUUUGCAGGAAUCUGGGAGCUUGUGUGCUUUUUUUGAAUUUUUAUGGUUUUCUGUAACCAUUGGGCCAUGUUGUUUUUUUUGAAAAAUUUUCUGGGUUUUGAAUUUCUGUGUGCUGGGUGGCUGGGGGAACAGUUGAGGAGGGGUUUGCAACAGUUGGGGAGGGGUUUGCAACAGUUGGGGAGGGGCUGGGGGAACAGUUGAGGUUUUUGAAGACUUUGGUGAUUUUUAAAGCUUUCCCAAAAUUUCUUUUGCAGCCAUUUGAGGAUUUUGAAGACUUUGGUGAUUUGCAGCCAUUUCGUAAGUUAAACUUUUAAAACUUUUUUUGGGGUUUUUGGAUUUUGGGUUGGGUGUUUGGAAUUCAAGGACUUGGUUGUGGGUUUGAAUUGCU